UACGGAGGUGGCAAGCGUUACCCGGAAUCACUGGGCGUAAAGGGCGUGUAGGCGGCCAUGUAAGUCUGGUUUUAAAGACCGGGGCUCAACCUCGGGGAUGGACUGGAUACUGCAAGGCUAGACCUCUGGAGAGAGAACUGGAAUUCCUGGUGUAGCGGUGGAAUGCGUAGAUACCAGGAGGAACACCAAUGGCGAAGGCAGG
rnacentral:rRNA from 1 species